GACGAACGCUGGCGGCGGGCUUAACACAUGCAAGUCGAACGGUGACGCGCCUUCCUUUUUGGUUUGUGUGGAUGGGUGGCGAACGGGGGAGUAACACGUGAGUAACCUGCCCCCGUCUGCUGGAUAACCGCAUGAAAGUGUGUCUAAUACGGGAUAUUCUGGGUCUGUCGCAUGAUGGGUCUGGGAAAGCUAUUGUUUCGGUGGGGGAUGGGCUCGCGGCCUAGCAGCUUGUUGGUGGGGUGAUGGCCUAACAAGGCGGUGACGGGUAGCCGGCAUGAGAGGAUCGACGGCCAUAGUGCGGCGCAGACAUGCAGCCGACUCCUGCGGGCGGCAGCGGGGGGGAUUACACAAUGGUGGGCGCCAGCAUGCAGCCGCGCCGCGGCGUGAGGGAUGGCGUCCGGGGUGUUGUGAACCUCCUUCGCGAGUGAAGCAGGUCAGCCUCGUAUGUGGGUGGGUUGACGGUAGCUGGAGAAGAAGCGCCGGCUAACUACGUG
rnacentral:rRNA from 1 species